rnacentral:rRNA from 1 species
UACGUAGGUGGCGAGCGUUGUCCGGAUUUACUGGGCGUAAAGCGUGCGCAGGCGGUUGUGCAAGACCGAUGUGAAAUCCCCCGGGCUCAACCUGGGAAUGGCAUUGGUGACUGCACGGCUAGAGUGUGUCAGAGGGGGGGUAGAAUUCCACGUGUAGCAGUGAAAUGCGUAGAGAUGUGGAGGAAUACCGAUGGCGAAGGCGGCCCUCUGGACGGUGACUGACGCUGGAGACGCGAAAAGCGUGGGGGAGCAAACAGG